GGAAACAUAUUCCAGUCGUGCUUGCAUGAGAGACCCUACAAGUUAACAUUGGGCGUCACAUGAAAAGAUUCCACCCAUAUCUGACACACCAUUUGGAACUUAGUCAGAUAUCUACAAGAUAGAUCAAAUUGCACUAAAUUGAUUAUAUUUUGACUGGAGCAGCUAUUACAUCUCCACCAUUUGUUUUGUAACCCGACAUGAACCGAGAUCUCAAUGGGAGGAAGUGGCCAGAUAUUGGACUAAUUAGCUAAAUUUUCAAAAAUUAAAAGGUGAAGAGGCAUUUGUAAUGAU
rnacentral:lncRNA from 1 species